UACGAAGGGGGCUAGCGUUGCUCGGAAUCACUGGGCGUAAAGCGCACGUAGGCGGAUCUUUAAGUCAGGGGUGAAAUCCCAAGGCUCAACCUUGGAACUGCCUUUGAUACUGGGGAUCUCGAGUCCGGAAGAGGUGAGUGGAACUGCGAGUGUAGAGGUGAAAUUCGUAGAUAUUCGCAAGAACACCAGUGGCGAAGGCGGCUGACUGGUCCGGUUCUGACGCUGAGGCGCGAAAGCGUGGGGAGCAAACAGG
rnacentral:rRNA from 1 species